rnacentral:rRNA from 1 species
UACGGAGGGGGCUAGCGUUGUUCGGAAUUACUGGGCGUAAAGCGCACGUAGGCGGCUUUGUAAGUUAGAGGUGAAAGCCCGGGGCCCAACUCCGGAACUGCCUUUGAAACUAGGUAGCUAGAAUCUUGGAGAGGUCAGUGGAAUUCCGAGUGUAGAGGUGAAAUUCGUAGAUAUUCGGAAGAACACCAGUGGCGAAGGCGACUCACUGGCCCGAUACUGACGCUGAGGCGCGAAAGCGUGGGGAGCAAACAGG